GCGAAAGUAGCUCAGUUGGUAGAGCAUCUCGUUGCCAACGAGAAGGUCGCGAGUUCGAGUCUCGUCUUUCGCUCCA
rnacentral:tRNA from 1 species